CAAUAGCGUAUAUUUAAGUUGCUGCAGUUAAAAAGCUCGUAGUUGGAUUUCGGGUGGGAAUGGCCGGUCCGCCGUUUCGGUGUGCACUUGCUACGCCCACCUUGCUGCCGGGGACGUGCUCUUGAGUUCACGCUCGGGACACGGAGUCGGCGAGGUUACUUUGAGUAAAUUAGAGUGUUCAAAGCAAGCCUACGCUCUGAAUAUAAUAGCAUGGGAUAACACGACAGGACUCUGGCCUAUCGUGUUGGUCUGUAGGACCAGAGUAAUGAUUAAGAGGGACAGUCGGGGGCAUUCGUAUUCCGUUGUCAGAGGUGAAAUUCUUGGAUUUACGGAAGACGAACAUCUGCGAAAGCAUUUGCCAAGGAUGUUUUCAUUGA
rnacentral:rRNA from 1 species